GUUUUUAAAUGAGCAGGAAGCACAGCUCUAAUGCAUGAGCUGAGACUCAAUUUUGCCUCAAAAUUUCUGCUCUGUAUCAAAGAAUCAACUAAAAGACUAAAUAAUC